UGGGGAAUUUUGGACAAUGGGGGAAACCCUGAUCCAGCCAUCCCGCGUGUGCGAUGAAGGCCUUCGGGUUGUAAAGCACUUUUGUCAGGAAAGAAACGUCAUGGGUUAAUACCCCGUGAAACUGACGGUACCUGCAGAAUAAGCACCGGCUAACUACGUGCCAGCAGCCGCGGUAAUACGUAGGGUGCAAGCGUUAAUCGGAAUUACUGGGCGUAAAGUGUGCGCAGGCGGUUCGGAAAGAGAGAUGUGAAAUCCCAGAGCUCAACUUUGGAACUGCAUUUUUAACUACCGGGCUAGAGUGUGUCAGAGGGGGGUGGAAUUCCGCGUGUAGCAGUGAAAUGCGUAGAUAUGCGGAGGAACACCGAUGGCGAAGGCAGCCUCCUGAGAUAACACUGACGCUCAUGCACGAAAGCGUGGGGAGCAAACAGG
rnacentral:rRNA from 1 species